AGCAAUCCUGAAAGGAGGAUUAGGAGGUGGCCUGAUUCCCUCUGCAGCUGUACUUCUUGUAUUGGCAUCCUGGCUUGCAUCAGGAAUGGUGUGGUGAGCAGGACUAGGGAAGUAAUCCUGCCCCUCUAUUUGGCAUUGGUGAGAUCCCACCUCAAGUACUGUGUUCAGUUUUGGGCACCUCAAUACAGAAAGGACAUUGAGGUGCUGGAGCAGGUCCAGAGAAGGGCAACGAGACUAGUGAAGGGCUUGGAAAAUCAGCCCUAUGAGGAGAGGCUGAGGGAGCUGGGGCUGUUUAGUCUGGGGAAGAGGAUGCUGAGGGGAGACGUUAUUACUCUCUUCCAGUACCUGAAACGUGUUUACAGUGAGAGCGGGGUAGGUCGCUUCUCACUGGUGACAGGUGGAGGGAAAUGGCCUCAAGUUGUGCCAGGGGAGGUUUAGGUUGGAUGUCAGGAUGAACUUCUUUACAGAAAGGGUGGUAAAGCACUGGAAUAGGCUCCCCAUGGAGGUGGUUGAGUCACCAUCCCUGGAUGUGUUUAAGAGCCAUUUUGAUGUGGUGCUCAGAGAUAUGAUUUAGCGGAGGGUUGUUAGAGUUAGGGUACUAUGGUUAGGCCGCGGUUGGACUUGCUGAUCUUUGAGGUCCUUUCCAACCUGAGUAACUCUAUGAUUCUAUAAUGUGUCAACUCGUGCUGAUGUAUUAAAGACAGAACAUUCUGAACUGAGCUGAUUUCUGGUCAAAAAUCUUGUUCUGGAGAUCUCAGAUUCCCAAACUAGUUUCUAUUAACAGAUAAGGGAAGGGAAAAAUUAUGAUUUUUUGAAUCCUAGCUGCUCUUUUACUUGGGAAAAAAAAUCUGUAUUGAACUGAACUAGACAGAAGGAGAGGAGAAAUGAAACAAAGGAGAUUAUAUUCUUGGAACUUGUUGGAGAAGUAGCUGAACUGUCAAAGCUUGGUUUAUUACAUAAUGAAACUGCAACUCAGAGGCUCAAACAGUGACUCCCUCACCUCAUUUUUUUUCAUGAACUUUGUCAAUAGCAUAUAAUUGCAAAGAUUAGCAUUUAAUUUGUUAAUUUGUUUCAG
rnacentral:lncRNA from 1 species